rnacentral:rRNA from 1 species
GGCUUAGGAUGAACGCUAGCGGCAGGCCUAAUACAUGCAAGUCGGACGGGAUCCACCCUUCGGGGUGGUGAGAGUGGCGCACGGGUGCGUAACGCGUAUGCAACCAACCCCACACUGGGGGACAGCCGGUGGAAACGCCGGGUAAUACCCCAUGCCGACACCUUGGGGCAUCCCAAGGUGUCGAAAGCAGCGAUGCGGUGCGGACGGGCAUGCGUCCCAUUAGCUAGUUGGCGGGGCGACGGCCCACCAAGGCUACGAUGGGUAGGGGAUCUGAGAGGACGGUCCCCCACACUGGUACUGAGACACGGACCAGACUCCUACGGGAGGCAGCAGUAAGGAAUAUUGGGCAAUGGGGGGAACCCUGACCCAGCCCAUGCCGCGUGAGGGAAGUAGGCCCUACGGGUCGUGAACCUCUUUUGUCCGGGGACAAUGGCGGCGUCGGGAACGCCGUUUGCGGGUACCGGACGAAUAAGCAUCGGCUAACUCCGUGCCAGCCGCAGC